GGUUUCGUGGUGUAGUUGGUUAUCACACCAGUCUGACACACUGGUGGUCCCCGGUUCAAGCCAAUGUGAGAUCA